AUUACGAAGGUCUGCGUGCAAGGGCAUGCUGAUGGAACAAUGCUGAAGUAGGGUCAAUGUCUGGAGAGGAAUCAAACCAACGAGCUAACGGGGGGAUCCACCUAAGCGAGUGCGCUUGUAGAGGUUCCCCAAUUCAGCAAGUUUGGUGAAAAGUCCAUUUUAGAUGAAGGCCGUACACUGCCCGCCACACACGUUCCAAGUCCAUGUAUAAGUGGCGUUGCACUACUAAACGCUAAUGAUCACUAAGGUUGAAGUACACCCGCUCAACGUCGGGUGUUAGGCUUGAUUCUAUUCUAAAUAUCCAAACGAGUGAAAAUGUUCUAGCGAAGAGUAACAAGAAUGGUAACAUUGUGCACACAUCGGGUCAAGUAUUCCCGGUACUCCUGAACUGCAGUAGGAAUGGAAAGAGGGUGAUAGGAUCACCCGUCAGAUGAAUCUCAGUGGCUUCAGUUGAUUCAUGUUCCCAACGCGAGCAAUUUCCUGAAUUGGUUUGUAAAGUGUUGUGCUCGACUGCUGUCGGUACGUUGUGGACUAAUAGAAAAAUUAGAAUUUUUUUUUCUUUUUACAGAUCUUGACCAUUCCAAAGCGCGCCUAAUAGCGUAAUUUGGUGUACAAGGUGGUGAACAUACUUGGGGGCGGUUAAGGAAACUCAAGGUUAGAACGCUAGCAUGAAGAGUCCGCCUCACGAAUUACCCAAUGGAUUCACGGGUUUAGAAUGCAGACUCGUGCUCGUGAGUAGCAAAUGCCGUGCCUGAUUCUCCCAUAGUUUAGGAAAAACGAUGGGCACGAAAGCAGGGAGUCGCAGUCAUAACUGGGUCUAUCGACGGAAGCGGCAACCAUAAGGAAGUAUAUAGAAUCCUAAAGUGGGGAGGUAUAUUUUAAGACGAUAGGAGAAAGUUUGAGUUCGGAACUGCAAAAAAAAUUUUCGUUAAAAUUUCAACUCGAAAUUGGAAAAUGAAAACUGAUGAGUUCCGGCGGAUGCCUGGGAAAUGCGGGUUAGUUAGGCCUAUUGCGAGCGAGGGAAGCAUAAUGGCGCCGACGACCGUGCUUCAACCGGCCUCGAAGAAGAAAUCCAUGACAGAAAUAGGAGGGAUUACUUUCCCCAAAUGCUGGUUAACUCGGAAGAAGGGGGUGCAUCAUAACGACCUAGUUCGAAAGCGAGUAACAGGUUUUAAGGAGUGACGACCGAAGCCAAACUUCGGACCCGGAACAGAGUCAGGGUCACACCGACUGGCAGGAAAGUCUGGUCGAUUUCUAUCAGCCGAACCAUCCGGAAAUGGGAUGGUUGUUGGAUUAGAAUUUAUUCGAGAAGAGAAUCGCUAGCACCUAGAAAGACAUGUAGUCCAUAAAUUGGGUUGAUUUUCCGUCUAAGAAUAAAACAUGAGUGGGCAAGCGGUACUACAAUGGUAGUAAGCUGAGCGUACACAAUUCGUAUGAUGGUCGCAAGUAGGAUUCGGUCCUAGUUUGAAUUAGAUAA
rnacentral:rRNA from 1 species